rnacentral:pre_miRNA from 1 species
AUCACUCAGAAAUCUUGUUAAAAUGCAAAUUCUGAUUGAAAGCUGGUCUGGGGUGGGGCCUAAGACCCUGCAUUUCUAACAGGUUUCCAGGUGAUGCCAU